UACAGAGACUGCAAGCGUUAUUCGGAUUCACUGGGCGUAAAGGGUGCGCAGGCGGUUGGGUGUGUCAGAUGUGAAAUCCCGAGGCUUAACCUCGGAACUGCGUCUGAAACUACUCGACUAGAGUACUGGAGAGGGUAACGGAAUUCCAGGUGUAGCGGUGAAAUGCGCAGAUAUCAGGAAGAACACCCGUGGCUAAGGCGGCUCUCUAGUACGGUACUGACGCUGAGACGCGAAAGCGUGGGGAGCGAACAGG
rnacentral:rRNA from 1 species